rnacentral:lncRNA from 12 species
AGAGCUCCACCCGGGUCGUGGGGCGCGAGCGGGAGGAAGGGGUCGUCUGCCCCACCGCCUCCAGGAGCAGGGAGGUGCCCUGCGCAGCUAACGGAGGCCAGCGCAGGCUCAGGGGUGCAGGGGCCGCGGCCGGGCAGGGGCAUCAGAUCGUCCUGACCAAGCUCAGCCGGACGGAGCUGCUGGAGCACAAAGUCCGACAACUGCUGCUCGCCUUGCAGCGCAGGGACGUCAUCUACGUCCUCAGCUUCCUGGAAGAUUACCAUCAAUUCGCCACCACGGACGAGGUGCUGGACCUGCUGUUCACCGAGUGAGCACCUGCCCCUCCGCAGCCCAGGGCUGGGCCACCUGCUGCUGGGGAGGCUGGGGAUGGUGUGAGCUUCCCGGCCUCGGGCUGCUCCCCAGCCUGGAGCAGGGUCCCCCAGGGCCUAGCGGGGUCCUGGAGGGCAGCCCCGGGGCCUGGCCUGUGGCGGGUCGGCCAGAGGGGCUGUGCCUGUGCUCAGCAGCCGUCCUCCUCCCCGUGACCAGGCCUGUGCCUCCUCCCCUCCCCCCCAUCACCAGGGUCCUGAGUGGCCUGUUUCCCCAUUGAAAGGGAGGUUUGAGAGUCUAUCGGGGGUCUGUGUCCUGGGGCAGCCAGACCGGGGAACCCCGGGACCCCCCAAGCCCACUAGGAUAUGGGCCAUGGGCCUGGCCGGACCCUUUCAUGCUCAAGCCUUCAGGAGGCCCCAGCAGGUGCGGGCGCUUCUCCGGGAGCUGCCCGUGGCCUCACGCACAGAGCUGACGGCCCCCGGGGCUCCGGCCUAGUCGGGGUCAGAGGGUGACAGCCCCCAUGAUGAGGUUGCAUCCACAGGACGAUUCAUGGGAU